UACGGGAGGAGCAAGCGUUGUUCGGAUUUACUGGGCGUAAAGGGCGCGUAGGCGGCCACCGCAAGUCAGUUGUGAAAGCUCUGGGCUUAACCCAGAAAGGUCAGCUGAUACUGCGGGGCUAGAGUGCAGAAGGGGCAACUGGAAUUCUCGGUGUAGCGGUGAAAUGCGUAGAUAUCGAGAGGAACACCUGCGGCGAAGGCGGGUUGCUGGGCUGACACUGACGCUGACAGCGCGAAAGCUAGGGGAGCGAACGGG
rnacentral:rRNA from 1 species